rnacentral:miRNA from 1 species
ACUGAACUGGCCAAAAAGUUCAUUUGGGUUUUCUGUAACAUCAUAUGGAAAAACCUGAGUGAACUUUUUGGCCACCCA